AUUGAACGCUGGCGGCAGGCCUAACACAUGCAAGUCGAGCGAGCGGCGGACGGGUGAGUAAUGUAUGGGAAACUGCCUGAUGGAGGGGGAUAACUACUGGAAACGGUAGCUAAUACCGCAUACCAUCAGAUGUGCCCAGAUUGGAUUAGCUAGUAGGUGGGGUAACGGCUUACCUAGGCGACGAUCCCUAGCGGGUCUGAGAGGAUGACCAGCCACACGGGAACUGAGACACGGUCCAGACUCCUACGGGAGGCAGCAGUGGGGAAUAUUGCACAAUGGGCGCAAGCCUGAUGCAGCCAGGCCGCGUGUGUGAAGAAGGCCUUCGGGUUGUAAAGCAUUUUCAGCGGGGAGGCGUUACCCGCAGAAGAAGCACCGGCUAACUCCGUGCCAGCAGCCGCGGUAAUUC
rnacentral:rRNA from 1 species